rnacentral:tRNA from 1 species
AUUCAAUUAGUUUAAAAAAAACAUUUCAUCUUCAGUGAAACAAUGUAUAUAUCUGUACAUUGAAUG